rnacentral:rRNA from 1 species
UACGUAGGGGGCAAGCGUUGUCCGGAAUCAUUGGGCGUAAAGCGCGCGUAGGCGGCCAGAUAAGUCCGGUGUGAAAGUCACAGGCUCAACCUGUGAAUGCCGCUGGAAACUGUCUGGCUAGAGUCCGGAAGGGGCGAGUGGAAUUCCUGGUGUAGCGGUGAAAUGCGCAGAUAUCAGGAGGAACACCAAUGGCGAAGGCAGCUCGCUGGAACGGUACUGACGCUGAGGCGCGAAAGCGUGGGGGAGCGAACAGG